rnacentral:lncRNA from 1 species
GCUGCCCUCCGCUCCAUCCCUCUCCUCUUCCUCUCCUCUUCCUCUCCUCUUCCUCUCCUCUUCCUCUCUUCCUCUCCUCUCUUCCUCUCCUCUCUUCCUCUCCUCUCUUCCUCUCCUCUCUUCCUCUCCUCUUCCUCCAGGGGUGGGUGUACAGGGGAUGCAGCGUUUUGCCUGUCCCCAUCACUGACAUGUCCCUGUGAGCGUGUGUGCGCGCAGCGGGGCUCGGGGCAGUGUGUCUGUCCGUGUCGUGUGUCCGUGUGUCUGUCUGUGCUCGCCCAUCACCGCCCCGUCCAUCCCAGCUGGCCGCUCCGCAGGGCGCACCCGGGUCAGGAGCCGGGCUCCAGGUACCGCUUCAGGUGGUGCCGUGUCUGUGCAGGGCUGGAGCCUGCAGGAAAAGCAUUCCUAAAGGCAAUCCUCUGGUGCAGGACAGAGCUCAGGAAUAAGAGUUGCAGCUGCACAUCAGGAUGGAGCCAGGCUCUGAGAUAUGAGAGAUUUGCCACGACAAAAAAAUAAUUGGUUCCUGCAAUUUGGAAUCUGAUGAAACUGAAGCGUGUUAAGGUUGAACACUUAGCCUGCUCUUGCAUGAUCUUUCCAAUAACUCAUGUUCCUUUGAAGUCACUUCAUUGUCCUGACUUUCUUGGGUUUGAAUUGUUGCCAGUUUUAAUAUAUUGGAAUGUUGAAUAACAUCAGUGAUAACAUCACAGCAAUGUGUGACAUAGUGUUUCUGUUGCCCUGAAUUGCAACUCUGUUCUAGCCUAUGGUGAACAUCAAAAGUUUUAAUGUUGAAACUUUUUUACUAUAGAUUUUAAUACUAUUUAUGUCUUUCAAUACUUUGAAUCUUACAAGAACUUUACUCAUGAAGUACACAAAACCAGGGAAAACUGUGAUCUUAUGGAUAUUCCUGUGGGUAUAACUGAACACUUUAGAAAAGUUAUAGACUGGCUUUUGUGAAUAGCAUCCCAAAGCAAAUCUUAUGGAAAAAAUCUAACGACCUAUGAAGGAUUUAUUUGUGUAUUUUUUUUCAUAAAUAGUGUAGUUACAGGCAAGGUAGACAAGCUGUUUCAUGUGAAUAAAUGAAUCAAUACAUCAAACUAAUGCA